rnacentral:rRNA from 1 species
AUUGAACGCUGGCGGCAGGCCUAACACAUGCAAGUCGAGCGGAUGAAGGGAGCUUGCUCCUGGAUUCAGCGGCGGACGGGUGAGUAAUGCCUAGGAAUCUGCCUGGUAGUGGGGGAUAACGUCCGGAAACGGGCGCUAAUACCGCAUACGUCCUGAGGGAGAAAGUGGGGGAUCUUCGGACCUCACGCUAUCAGAUGAGCCUAGGUCGGAUUAGCUAGUUGGUGGGGUAAAGGCCUACCAAGGCGACGAUCCGUAACUGGUCUGAGAGGAUGAUCAGUCAAACUGGAACUGAGACACGGUCCGAACCCCUACGGGGGGCAGCAGUGGGGAAUAUGGGAAAAGGGGCGAAAGCCUGAUCCAGCCAUGCCGGGUGGGUGAAAAAGGUCUUGGGAUUUUAAAGCCCUUUAAGUUGGGAGGAAGGGCAGUAAGUUAAAACCUGGCUUUUUUGACGUUACCAAAAAAAUAAGCACCGGCUAACUUCGG